AACUGGGACUGAGACACGGUCCAGAUCACUACGGGAGGCAGCAGUAGGGAAUCUUCCGCAAUGGACGAAAGUCUGACGGAGCAACGCCGCGUGAACGAAGAAGGUUUUCGGAUCGUAAAGUUCUGUUGUUAGGGAAGAACAAGUACCGUUCAAAUAGGGCGGUACCUUGACGGUACCUAUCGAGGAAGCCCCGGCUAACUACGUGCCAGCAGCCGCGGUAAUACGUAGGGGGCAAGCGUUGUCCGGAAUUAUUGGGCGUAAAGCGCGCGUAGGCGGUUUCUUAAGUCUGAUGUGAAAUCUUGCGGCUCAACCGCAAGCGGUCAUUGGAAACUGGGGAACUUGAGUGCAGAAGAGGAGAGCGGAAUUCCACGUGUAGCGGUGAAAUGCGUAGAUAUGUGGAGGAACACCAGUGGCGAAGGCGGCUCUCUGGUCUGUAACUGACGCUGAGGU
rnacentral:rRNA from 1 species